rnacentral:rRNA from 1 species
UUGACCUCGGAUCAGGUAGGAAUACCCGCUGAACUUAAGCAUAUCAAUAAGCGGAGGAAAUCG